AGUACUUGUGCGUGGAAUCAGUGGUGUUUAACAAAGUUUUGAACAUGAUGUCUCCAGCAAGGAUAUGUUUGAUGACGGUUACCAUGGAAAUGAACUCACGGACCUAUGUCAAAAAUGUCUUUUUCUGAUAAAAUAAAUAUAAUGCUAUCCAUUUCA